UACGAAGGGGGCUAGCGUUGUUCGGAAUUACUGGGCGUAAAGGGCUCGUAGGCGGUCUGUCGCGUCGGGAGUGAAAACUCAGGGCUUAACCCUGAGCCUGCUUCCGAUACGGGCAGACUAGAGGUAUGCAGGGGAGAACGGAAUUCCUGGUGUAGCGGUGGAAUGCGCAGAUAUCAGGAGGAACACCGGUGGCGAAGGCGGUUCUCUGGGCAUUACCUGACGCUGAGGAGCGAAAGUGUGGGGAGCGAACAGG
rnacentral:rRNA from 1 species